rnacentral:rRNA from 1 species
GUAAUCGCGGAUCAGCAUGCCGCGGUGAAUACGUUCCCGGGCCUUGUACACACCGCCCGUCACACCAUGAGAGUCGGGAACACCCGAAGUCCGUAGCCUAACCGCAAGGGGGCGCGGCCGAAGGUGGGUUCGAUAAUUGGGGUGAAGUCGUAACAAGGUACC